rnacentral:lncRNA from 1 species
GGUCGCAAAGAGUCGGACACGACUGAGCGACUGAACUGAACUGAAUAACAAAGAUAAUCAUAAAACAGUAAAGAGAAAUGUUUCUAAACUCACUGUACUAGACAUUUACAUAUAUAAUAAAACCAUAGUAAAAGGGCACAGAGUGGUAUUGGUGCAAAAAGACAAAUCCGAACGGAACAGACUAGAGAGAUGAGGAAAGUAAGCGCAGUAUUUGGCGUGAGUGGUGUGUGCAGGCCUUUCUCCAUUUGUCCCCUCAGAUCCAUUCUCUUCUUCUCUCCUGUAUUCUCUGGCUUGCAGAGCUGCUCUCUACCAAGCCAGUCACCUGGGGGCCCUUCCCUCCUGGCCUAUGAGAGUCAUGGGAGACUGAAGGAUGAGAAGAGAAAGAGGCCAAAGCGCCUCUUUCCUUGCUGCCUUCCUGUUUUGUUACCACACAUCAGGGGGCUCAUCCCCUACCACUACAGCUCCUGCCCGUAGCCCAGACCACACAGGCUCUGACAGCACUCUUUCAUCACUUGUCGUUAGUGUAUGAGGAGUGACAAGUUCCAACGGUAGCCAGCUCUUGAGGCUCUUGUUGACUCACUUAAUUCCGAUCACUCUUAAAUAAACAUGUUCUUCAUUUGAUGAUAUUCAGAAUGUCGUUUGAAUCUGCCUUGUUGUUCUGACUAAAAACAGGUGGAAUCACAUAUCAGUUGAAAAAAGAGGGGUUCCAGAGGAAAAUUUGUUCCCUCUAUGGGAAAAAAAAAGCAUGCAAGUAAAAACUCAGGAUAAUGUCUUUGAGAUAUUGGGGUGCAAAGUAUUUCUUAAUAGAACCCUAAAGUACAAACUGUAUGGGAAAAAUUAAUUUGACAACCUUAAAUAUCUAUGCUAAAUUAAGGACAGUAUAGACGAAGUUAGCAGAUGUCUGACAUGACAGUAUGAUAUUUUCAAAGCCUAAUGAUAUCAAGGGAUCAAUACCUAGAUAGGAAUGCCUGCAAAUCACAGGGGAACAAGACAAAAUCUGAGAAAUAAUUUGUUACACUGUGUAAAUAAGAAAUCCACAAAGGGUAGAACUGACUAUCUAAACUUGUAUCAAGAAAUUAAAAUCUUGCUAGUAAUCAGAUAAAGGCAUAAAAAUGCAAAAGGAGAUACAAUUUGUUACCCAUUAGAUAAGCAAAAUUAAAAAGUUGGAUAACACUGAGUACUGAUAAGGAUUAGGACACUGGGCAUGUGGGAGUGAAAAUAAGCCCAUCUAUUCUGGAAUCUCUUUAAGUGUUAGUUGCUUAGUCAUGUCCAGCUUUUUGAGACCCCAUGGAUUGUAGCCUUCCCAGCUCCUCUGCCCAUGGAAUUCUCCAGGCAAGAAUACUGGAGUGGGUAGCC